rnacentral:tRNA from 4 species
GCGCGGGUAGCUCAGCGGUAGAGCAACUGGUUUACACCCAGUUGGUCGGCGGUUCGAUCCCGUCCCCGCGCACCA